rnacentral:ncRNA from 1 species
ACCUCGAUAUCUUUUGCCAUCAUUUUGAAGGUGAUGGCAGGCGAUGAGCUGGACUGAGGCGGUACAUUUAUCAAACGGUUGCUUAGAUGUCCCAAGGUCACCUCAGUCAGGACGGAAACCUGGAGUGGAAUAAAAGGGCAAAAGUCGACUAUUUAAUUUGGUUUCCAGACCAUCUACCCUUUUGACUCUGGUAAUCGGAGUUUAAGGCAAGACGUCGCAGAAAAGUGACCACAUGGAUAGAUGGCUUGUGGCAGCCAAGUGUUCCUAGCGAUGAUCUCAGCGAUGCCGGUUCUCUCUUUAGUGUUUUUUGAUGCACAGUU